rnacentral:rRNA from 1 species
UACGUAGGGUGCGAGCGUUGUCCGGAAUUAUUGGGCGUAAAGAGCUUGUAGGCGGUUUGUCGCGUCUGCUGUGAAAAUCCGGGGCUCAACUCCGGACUUGCAGUGGGUACGGGCAGGCUAGAGUGUGGUAGGGGAGACGUGGAAUUCCUGGUGUAGCGGUGGAAUGCGCAGAUAUCGGGAAGAACACCUGUGGCGAAGGCGGCUCUCUGGGACGGUACUGGACGCUGAGACGCGAAAGCGUGGGGAGCAAACAGG